rnacentral:misc_RNA from 1 species
UCCGGCUUACCACCGGCGGUCCCAUUGGAGUGCCCAACUAAAUGAUGGCAACUAAUGGCGAGGGUUGCGCUCGUUGCGGGACUUAACCCAACAUCUCACGACACGAGCUGACGACAGCCAUGCAGCAUCUGUGGUGCACCCUCGAAGGUCACACGUUUCCGUGCGCUUGCAGCACCAUGUCAAGUCCAGGUAAGGUUCUUCGCGUUGCAUCGAAUUAAGCCACAUGCUCCGCCGCUUGUGCGGGUCCCCGUCAAUUCCUUUGAGUUUUAGCCUUGCGGCCGUACUCCCCAGGCGGAGUGCUUAAUGCGUUAGCUGCGGCACGGAGAACGUGGAAUGUCCCCCACACCUAGUGCCCACCGUUUACGGCGUGGACUAC